UGUCCUGGGCAGCAGAGGGGACCAGCAGUCCCUGCCCCAGGCAGGAGAGGGAACCAGCAGCCCCUGCCCUGGGCAGCCCUUGCCAGCACGAGGAGAGGGUUUCUCCUCGCACGCCCUGCCCGGCUCUGCCCGUGAGCCUGUUGCUGACUAGGAGCCUAAAACGGUUUUAUCAGCAGAAGCUUUUCAGUUCCUUUUUAAGCCAGUAGAUCUCUGUUACUAACACAUUCCUGAACUGAAUUAAACAAACUAACCGUUGCUGCUUUUCUCUUCAUUUCUCUUCCAGUGUGUGUGUCCUAAGGCAGACCAGUGCCCUGCUUCUGUUACUAACCUGUACUUCUGUUAGCACUGUACUAAUCCUUCCUGACCUGUUUCUCUCUUUGCUACUAACCAAGUCUCUUUGCACUUUGCCUCUCGGAUGCUAUUUGCCAUGACAAGUGACGGUGGCUCCUCCUGGACUUCUGGUUAUCAACCUGCAGCACCCCAAUUUUCAGUGCUGCUGAGCAUCCCUGGCUCCCAUUUGGUGCGAUGGGAAGGAAGAUGCCUUUACUGGAGGGUUUUGAAAAUUUCCCUAUUUGCCUUCUGUUUUCCAAGAAAUUUCAUGUGGCACAACGAGGAAAAGAGGCUGAGAGGCAAUAGGACAAUACAAAACCAUUAAUAAUGACCAGUAAUGGCUGUAAAGAUCCAGCAAACCCAGAGAGAUUCAGCCACAGAGUGAUGCUAUUGUCUAUGAGCCCCACCAGAGCCUGAGUUUGGGGCUCUCCUGGGGCCCCACGUCACCCGUCAUGGGGAAUGGUCUUGUGCUGCUCCCUGAAUUGGCUCACGGACACUCCCGGGCUCCUCUCUUCACUCCCUUUGUCUUUCCACAGUUUAUCUUGUGCCUGGUGCAUGUGGAAGCUGUUGCCAGCAGCGUGGGCGUGACUAACCAUACCUGUGUGUGACCGCUGGGCUGGUAAUGAGCCAAGGGCAGGAGGGGGCAGUGGGUGUCAGAGGGGGCUCUGCCAUCAGGCUGUGAUGGAGGCACAGCCUGGGCUUUGCUUUCUGUCUGUCUGUCAGUCGGAGGAACGUUCCCAGCCUCUCAGGGGUCCUGCCAAGGUGAAGGCUCCAGGACCUGGUCCAUCAGUGUAGGUUUGGACAUGGGCUGGUGACCCAGGGCCAGGCACCACCAGUGUUCAGGACUGCCAUGACCAGCGAGGCAAAGCCAAGCCCUGUGUGCCAGCAGAGGAUGGUGGCCCUGUGCUGCUGGUAGGCAUGGGCUGGCUCAUGAGGACAGCCCAGACCGUGGCUGCUGUGGGGACACAGCAGUGUGGGACUGCCCCCACCAAGGGUCAGGGCAGCUCUGUCUGGCGGUUACAGAUCCGGGCAGCAUCCAGCUCUGGCUGCUCUCUCUUGGCUUUGCCUUAUGCUCACUAACCCCGUGGUGAGGGUCUCCCCAGUCACUGUCACUGGCUGGUGUCACCAUCACCCCACAGCAGCUCCUGCCUUCACUGGAAGGCAGAACCAGAGUGGGGUCCCCUUGGAUGGCUGGGUCCACCCCCUAAUGCUGCCACUACCCCUGGGCAUCCCAGCUCUGCACUGACCCAAGCCUGCUCCUUCAGCUGGGGUGUCACUGGGCUCUCAGGCUGAUGGGGGUCCCCUCCUCACUCAGCUCCGUGUCUGUCCAACCUCCACCUUAUUCCACUAACCAUGUGCCUACCCUUCCUCCACACAGCUGGCACCGGGGUGGGUUUUUGGGCUGAUGCUCCUAUGUUUGAUGGAAGGGGGACACAGGGCCCUGCUGUGGGCUGGGGGCAGAGGAGGAAGCAGGAGUGUGGGGACAGGAAUGGGCUAGGAGGACAAGCCAAGUUGGGCACAAGGUGGGCAGGUUCAGGGCUCCUGCACAAGUAGGAGCACCACCAGCACUGGGCUGGGGUUGUCAGAGCCCACCAUUGUGAGGGACUCUCCUCCCUGCUCCACAACCCCUCUUUCUGCUUCAGAGCAGCCCUCCUGCACCCAGGAGGACCUCCCCAGGCUGGUCACUGAGGGGAGUCAUGGGACCACAAGUCACCCUGAUAGCCAAGAGGAUGCACUGGGCAAAUGUGGCCCUCCAGGGGCAGCCAAUGCUGCCCACAGACCCCUCAGUGGGGACAGGCCACCGGUGCCCUUGGGUGGCUGCUCCCCCUGCAGAGCCACCACUGCUGAGCAGGGCAGGCCUGGAGGGCAAGGAGGCUUCCCCAAACAGCUCCUUUCCUCUGCUCCAGCACCUUGGAGCUCCCUGCCCCUGCUCCCCACUUUCUGCAACUGGAAGAGGAGUUGGUCAGUCUGUCUGUCUGUCUCUCGCGCUUUGGUGCAGGGAGGUGUGGGGCUGGGGCACCCCAGCAGCAAAAUGGGCAGAGGUCAGGAGGUGUCACCCAGCCCUGGGUGCACCAUCUUGCCCAGGGUGCUCCAGACCAAGCUGGCCAAGGCUGCUCCUCCUCUGCAGGUCCCCACACACACC